rnacentral:rRNA from 1 species
UACGUAGGGUGCGAGCGUUAAUCGGAAUUACUGGGCGUAAAGCGUGCGCAGGCGGUUUGUUAAGUCAGGGGUGAAAUCCUGGAGCUCAACUCCAGAACUGCCUUUGAUACUGGCGAUCUCGAGUCCGGGAGAGGUGAGUGGAACUGCGAGUGUAGAGGUGAAAUUCGUAGAUAUUCGCAAGAACACCAGUGGCGAAGGCGGCUCACUGGCCCGGUACUGACGCUGAGGUGCGAAAGCGUGGGGAGCAAACAGG